rnacentral:rRNA from 1 species
AACGUAGGACGCAAGCGUUAUCCGGAGUUACUGGGCGUAACUAGCGCGCAGGCGGAUGAUUAAGUCGUUUAUGAAAGCCCCUGGCUAAACUGGGGGAGGCUAGACGAUACUGGUUGUCUUGAGUGGGUGAGAGGGAUGUGGAAUUCCGCGUGUAGUGGUGAAAUGCGUAGAUAUGCGGAGGAACACCAGAGGCGAAGGCGACAUCCUGGCACUCAACUGACGCUGAGGCGCGAAAGCAUGGGUAGCGAACGGG